CCUACGGGAGGCAGCAGUGAGGAAUAUUGGUCAAUGGCCGGAAGGCUGAACCAGCCAAGUCGCGUGAGGGAAUAAGGCCCUAUGGGUCGUAAACCUCUUUUGUCAGGGAGCAAAGGCGUCCACGAGUGGACGAAAGGAGAGUAACUGAAGAAAAAGCAACGGCUAACUCCGUGCCAGCAGCCGCGGUAAUAAGGAGGAUGCGAGGGUUACCCGGAUUUAUUGGGUUUAAAGGGGGCGUAGGCGGAGUGGCACGUCAGCGGUAAAAUUUAGGGGCUCAACCCCGUCGUUCCGUUGAAACUGACACCGUUGAGUGAGUGAGAAGUAGGCGGAAUGCGUGGUGUAGCGGUGAAAGGCAUAGAUAUCACGCAGAACGCCGAUUGCGAAGGCAGCUUACCGGCGCUCAACUGACGCUGAGGCACGAAAGUGCGGGUAUCGAACAGGAUUAGAUACCCUUGUAGUC
rnacentral:rRNA from 1 species